AUGAUGGGAUGAGAAGAGAAAGGGGUGCUAUCCAACAAGGGGUUUUGGAAGGAGGCUUCUGGAAGUCUGAACUGGGAGCAGGGGUUUGGGGAGGCAUCUCCCAGGAGCCAUGUGGUUGUCUCCCGUGCCAGGAGUUUGUGCUGCUGUGCUAGGAUUGAGCUUCUGGAUUGCAAAGUUCCCAGGAGAGGGAACAGCCAUUGCAAAGGUUCUGGGUUGCCUGAAGUAAUCCAGGAACAGCUGGGUACCUGGUGAGGGGAAGGUGGAGUGGUGAGGGCCAGGAGGUGAUGCAGGGAGGUGCCACAGGGAGCCUGCUGGGCCCUGUGGGCUGAGGCGGGGUUUUGGCCUUUGCACUGAGGGAGGUGGGAGAGGACUUGACUCGGGUUCCCAUGCUCCCCCUGGUGGCCAUGUGGUGAACAGAUGGUGGCAGGUGAGUGAGAACUCCAGUCCAGGACGGUGGUGACCAUGCAGGGAUCAGGAGGCGGGCGGUGGUUGGAUUUGGAGGGCUUCUGAAGAUAGAGUUGCUGGCAGCUCCUGCCUUGCAGAUGGGGCAGGGUUGUUGACACCUAGCUGUUGGGUCUGGGGAAACACGGCCAUCGUUGCCCAGCAGCUCUAGUGACCCCAGACAUUGACAUGGGCCCUGUCUGGGAGCAAGGGUCUGCGAAGGGCUUCCUUCAUCUGGGACACACCUCUCAGCCUGUUUGGCUACAGUGUCCUCCCUCUGUGUCUGUCUCCUGUGACUGGCUGACUGGGCCCGCCGUGUCCCCCCUCCCCACAGCGGAACGGGGCCGACUACGCUGUCUACAUCAACACAGCCCAGGAGUUUGAUGGCUCUGACUCAGGUGCCCGACCAGACGAGGCUGUCUCCUGGGGCAAGAUCCGGGUGGAUGCACAGCCUGUCAAGGUCUAUGCUGACGCCUCCCUGGUCUUCCCCCUGCUGGUGGCUGAAACCUUUGCCCAGAAGAUGGAUGCCUUCAUGCGUGAGAAGAACGAGGACUGAGCGGCUGCGGUCCCAGGAAGGUCUUACCCCCUCCUCUAUUUAUUAAUUUGCAGACCCAGCCCCUCCCCUACUUUUUGGUCAGUUACA
rnacentral:sRNA from 1 species